UUGGUGAUCUCAAACCACUCACAAGGGGUCCCACCCAAAGGGAAGAAACCAAGAUGCUUAUGAUCCUUGAGGCUAUGCAAAUGCCAUGUGUCAUACCCCGAUUUUGGUCCUGAAUUUUUUUCAUUUUUUUAUUUUUUAUUUGGCACUUGGCUUAAAGUUCAUUUGCAUACAUUCAUGACCAAAGGCAACCAUCCAUUCCCAAAUCCACUUUUUUUUGAUAGACAUUGGUCAUUAU
rnacentral:lncRNA from 1 species